rnacentral:rRNA from 1 species
GACGAACGCUGGCGGCGUGCUUAACACAUGCAAGUCGAACGAUGAAGCCGGAGCUUGCUCUGGUGAAUUAGUGGCGAACGGGUGAGUAACACGUGAGUAACCUGCCCUUGACUCUGGGAUAACUGCGGGAAACUGUAGCUAAUACCGGAUACGACCCUCGGAGGCAUCUCCUGGGGGUGGAAAGAAUUUCGGUCAAGGAUGGACUCGCGGCCUAUCAGCUAGUUGGCGAGGUAAAGGCUCGCCAAGGCGACGACGGGUAGCCGGCCUGAGAGGGUGACCGGCCACACUGGGACUGAGACACAGCCCAGACUCCUACGGGAGGCAGCAGUGUGGAAUCUCGCACAAUGGGCGCAAGCCUGAUGCAGCAACGCCGCGUGAGGGAUGACGGCCUUCGGGUUGUAACCCUCUUUUAGCAGGGAAGAAGCGAAAGUGACGGUACCUGCAGAAAAAGCACCGGCUAACUACGUGCCAGCCGCCGCGGUAA